AUGUGAAAAAAAGUGAAAGAAUCUGAAAACUUCCUGAAUGCAUUACAAUACAUAUUCUGUAUUGCUUUUAAAUUUGGGUCAAAUAUGUUACGGACAGAUUUUAAUUUACACUUCAUACUGAAAUAUGAUUCUACAUCUGGAACUCCAAAUGCGACAUACAGUACAACUUUAAUGCGAUAUCCAUGCACAACGAAAGGAAAAAUACAGAAAGAGGAGAGAAUCAACUUUUAUAAAGCACAUAUUACAACAAAGGAAAGAAAACAACAUUGAAGUAGCUCAUAUUUUGACAG